GCGCUUGUAGCUCAGCUGGAUAGAGCACAUGCCUUCUAAGCCUGUGGUCAGGAGUUCGAAUCUCUUCAAGCGCGCCA
rnacentral:tRNA from 1 species